rnacentral:lncRNA from 1 species
GCGGAUACAGCGACCACAGCCUCGGCGGCGUCCGCGGCGGCCAGUGCCUCGAAUGCCUCCUCCGAUGCUCCCCCUUUCCAGCUGGGCAAGCCCCGCUUCCAGCAGACAUCCUUCUACGGUCGCUUCAGGCACUUCUUGGACAUCAUCGAUCCUCGAACACUCUUUGUCACUGAGUUUUUUUCAGCUCUGGAGUGCACAGAAAAUCAAACAGGCUAUCCUACACCCGGACACCAACGAG